UACGUAGGGGGCAAGCGUUGUCCGGAAUCAUUGGGCGUAAAGAGCGUGUAGGCGGCCCGAUAAGUCCGCCGUGAAAGCCCAGGGCUCAACCCUGGGAUGCCGGUGGAUACUGUCGGGCUAGAGUUCGGAAGAGGCAAGUGGAAUUCCUGGUGUAGCGGUGAAAUGCGCAGAUAUCAGGAGGAACACCUAUGGCGAAGGCAGCUUGCUGGGACGACACUGACGCUGAGGCGCGAAAGCUAGGGGAGCGAACGGG
rnacentral:rRNA from 1 species